AGCUGACCUUCAAGAAGUCCAGCCACGUCCAGGAAACUGGUGAGUGCGGAGGCCCCAGCUGUCUGGGAAGAAGCUACCCACAAUCAGACUAGCUUGUGCUGUCAUGUUCUGGGGGCCCCACUAUGGGACGCCCCCUAGAGGCUCUCCGUGGACCCCAGGACUGAGUGCAAUGAGCAGAGAGGGCUUUUCUUUACCUGGUGUGCAGGCCCCAUCAGGCAGCCUCAUUUGAAGGUACAUCCUGGCCAACUUGAAGGCUUUUGGUGGAACUAUCAAAAGGCACUCACUGAUCCUUUAUGGAUGUGAGAGAAGUAACGUUGAAUCUGAGAGAGGAAACCUGGUUUGAUCAGGCAAGACUGUGACACUGUUAACGCUCAGUGUCUCUGCAGAGAAUCACUCGCCUCUGAACUGAAUUUAGAAUUAGGACUCUGUUUCUGUAAGGCUUAGAAACAAAUAUCCUUGGAGG